rnacentral:rRNA from 1 species
GACAGGCAAUAUAUUAGCAUAAAGACUCGUCUUUAGCGCUAAUUGUUAAAUAUGCUAGUCCUUUCAUGAUUAUGUGAUAGGUGGUGCAUGGCCGUUCUUAGUUCGUGGAGUGAUCUGUCUGCUUAAUUGCGUUUCACUAAGGGCCCAUAAAUUCAAGGUAUGUUAGCAAAUGCUGCUCUAUUGACCCCUAAUAGGCUUAACUGUCUUUAGCGCGUGUCUCUACGAGUUCUUUAAAGCACUGCGCAUGCUGUUGGGUCCUGAAAGCAACGAACGUGACCGCAACGUCUUGUUGCCUCUCUAUAAUAUCUUCUUAUUUUUAAUAAGAGUAUUUACCUGAGGCUAUUUUAAAACUAGACGGACCGCUGUUUCUUUCUUAAACCAGAGGAAGGUUGCGGCAAUAACAGGUCUGUGAUGCCCUUAGAUGUUCCGG